UGAGCAUCGUUCGUUUGUGAUAUCUGCUGAGUAGGUUGUAAUGUUUGUUCAUUUUAGUGAUGUGUUAUUUUUAGUGGACAACUAUCGUUUCAUACUUUCAAACCCGUUGCCGCUAGAAUUACGAGGAAGAUGUAUGAUGUCUGUCGACUAGUCCUCUUCUUCAGGCUUUGACUAGGGCCCUGGUUUGCUACUAACAUGACCACUGUUUGUGGGUGGGGUUGUAAGUUUUGUUAGAUUGCGAACUCAUUUUAGAAGGUAUUUUUUUGUUAGGGG
rnacentral:misc_RNA from 1 species